CUUCAGCCAUGUUUAUGAUACGCCACCUCGUACUACUGGCUCGGACCAAGUAGUUUUACGAGAUUAACAAUAAAAAGAAGAUGUUUACGUAUAAAAUAUCAACACAAAUCCAACGUAUUCAGGAUCUGCUCAUAGAUGACUAUGUCGCUGAGAAAGUUUGGUGCACAGGUAUUUCCAAUGACAGGGAAGAGCCGUGUUUCAUAGAGCUGCCGAGAGAUGUUUGAAGGCUCCAUCCACCCCACGCAAACAACUUCAGACUGCAAUUAAUCAGCAGGUGAUCGUUCUUCCUCAAGAAUUCAACCUCUUCCUCGCUUUAUCGCUGCGUACUUUUUCGUAUCACAGCUUUACACGGCGCUCUUUACGCCGGCACGUUUUCAGCACAGAGCACAAAGGUGGCUUCCCUUCAGACGCUACCCGUUUAAUCCGUUUUCUGCAUCGCUUGUUCGGGUCACAGCGAACACUUCAUCCGAAAAUAAAUAUUUAGAUUUAAAUUAGCGUAGUUGCUUUUCUUAGUGAGCCUGUCUGAGGCGAUAACACUGUUACAUAGCAGCCACUCAAAGCAUUGUGCAGUGUUUAUUUCUGGACCAUUUAUAAUACUUUUGGGCAUUAUGGCCCGGUUUUAUAGCCUAAACCAGAGAUUUUUAGUCCAGGGCUAGAUUUAAGCCUUGUCUGUUUCUUUACAAAGAGUUAUGGUUUCUAAAAGUUAAGAAAGUCUCGUUCUGUUAUAUAGUAGACUGAAUUAUGAAUUCAAAGGUACUUGGCAAAUCAUCAUUCUUUAAGUAAUAUCUUAAAGAAAAAAAUAUCAUAGUUGGUAUGAUGCUGCGCGUUAUAAUUGACAUGCUGUGAUGUAAAUGGGAAAUGAUGUAAAACAAUAUAUUCUUAAAAUAUGAAUAGAAAUGGCCCUUUUUCCCCACUGUCCACCGUUUCCUAUAUAAAUACUCAUCUGUCAUUGGCUCAGAUAACAGCAAUAGCCUGUUGCCUGGUAACAUUGCCAGAAUGCUUGCGUGCCGCUUUUGUGUCUCUGUGCUUUUUCCUUUCUUUUUCUAACAAUAAUGUUUACCCUACACGACCAUCUACAUUUAUAACAGUACACCCACUAACGAUGAUCUUUAUACGUAACAAUCAGUCUGGACGUUAUUUUGCAAUCUGUUAUCGGUGGAAUUAUUUAGCAGCUUGAUGUGAAGCAUAAUGCAGAAGCUGACAGGAAGCAUCACGCCACAUGCCAAAACUUUGUCACACUUCCCUGGCUAUUAAUGAACGCCCUCUCCUCAGCCGAUAAGUCACGGGAAUGAUGUAAAAUAAGCUAGUCUUUCAUUAAGAAAUGCGUCGCUCUUUAGUUGUGAAAUUGACUGGGACAAC